GAUGAACGCUGACAGAAUGCUUAACACAUGCAAGUCGAUGGGGAAGUGGUGCUUGCACCAUGGUAACCAUGGCGGACGGGUGAGUAACGCGUAAGGAACUUACCUGCGGGACCGGGAUAACAGCAGGAAACUGCUGACAAGACUGGAUAAGGUCAUUAAGCUGCAUAGCUUAGUGAUGAAAGGAGACGCCUGCGGAGAGCCUUGCGUCCUAUUAGCUAGUUGGAGGGGUAACGGCCCACCAAGGCGAAGAUAGGUAGCCGGCCUGAGAGGGUGGACGGCCACAAGGGGACUGAGAUACGGCCCUUACUCCUACGGGAGGCAGCAGUGGGGAAUAUUGGACAAUGGGGGCAACCCUGAUCCAGCAAUUCUGUGUGCACGAAGACGGUUUUCGGAGUGUAAAGUGCUUUCAGCAGGGAAGAAGGAAGUGACGGUACCUGCAGAAGAAGCGACGGCUAAAUACGUG
rnacentral:rRNA from 1 species